rnacentral:ncRNA from 12 species
UUAUAUUAGGUCUGUGGUUGAAAGUCGAAGCCAGCCGCAGGCGAAGCGAUCCACGUAAGUCAGACAAAGUCUGAUGAGCAUGGUGCGGUUUAGGGGUAAGACCUGCCGCCUUAGGGCGAGAGGGGCUAUAGUGAGAGGAAUACACCUUAAGCAAAACCUCCAGCAGGCGAGUGUGGGGGCAAAAACCAGGUCAGCUAAUAUAA